GCAAAGUCGAAGGCCCGGUUCUUUGAGACCGGAUAGGGGGAGAGGCCUUACAGCACCCUAACGCGCCCCCACGGCCAAGUCGGUAAAGGGAGGAGAACCUCACACUGGCUCGGGCAAGACGGAAGGCCCGGACUCCUACGGGAGCCGGGUUCCAGCCACGACGCAAAGAAAGACUUCACCCAGACUCCUACGGGAGUCGGGUUCCGG
rnacentral:lncRNA from 1 species